UACGGAGGGUGCAAGCGUUAUCCGGAUUCACUGGGUUUAAAGGGUGCGUAGGCGGGCAGGUAAGUCCGUGGUGAAAUCUCUGAGCUUAACUCAGAAACUGCCAUGGAUACUAUUUGUCUUGAAUGUUGUGGAGGUAAGCGGAAUAUGUCAUGUAGCGGUGAAAUGCUUAGAUAUGACAUAGAACACCCAUUGCGAAAGGCAGCUUACUACACAAAUAUUGACGCUGAGGCACGAAAGCGUGGGGAUCAAACAGG
rnacentral:rRNA from 1 species